GCGGACGUAGUGCAGGGUGCACCGUUGCAAUUCAUGUGUAGAGAGCGACUAGAGUUUUGAAGCAGCUGGACGGGGUUCGACUCCCCGCGUCCGCA